rnacentral:sRNA from 1 species
UAUUUUAAAACUAUUGAAAUUUCAAGCAUUCAAUGUU